rnacentral:rRNA from 1 species
UACGAAGGGGGCUAGCGUUGUUCGGAAUCACUGGGCGUAAAGGGCGCGUAGGCGGCCGGUCAAGUCGGGGGUGAAAGCCUGUGGCUCAACCACAGAAUUGCCUUCGAUACUGUUUGGCUUGAGACCGGAAGAGGUUAGUGGAACUGCGAGUGUAGAGGUGAAAUUCGUAGAUAUUCGCAAGAACACCAGUGGCGAAGGCGGCUGACUGGUCCGGUUCUGACGCUGAGGCGCGAAAGCGUGGGGAGCAAACAGG